rnacentral:rRNA from 1 species
GUGGCUUAAUUUGACUCAACGCGGGAAAUCUUACCGGGUCCGGACACACUGAGGAUUGACAGAUAUAUACCCCGUGAUUUUAUCGCGGGGUUGAAAGAUGCUAGUUCUUUCAUGAUUAUGUGAUAGGUGGUGCAUGGCCGUUCUUAGUUCGUGGAGUGAUCUGUCUGCUUAAUUGCGUAUCAAUAAUAGAGACCUAGUAUACGCGUAGACUCAUGCGGUAGUGACCCCCCUUCACAGGGCGCGUGUCGCACGUAUGUUAUACGCACAGGUCUCCGAUAGCAACGAACGUGACCGUACUCUAUUGUUGCAGCGACAAUACCUUUCAACGGGUAUUACCGCUGCUUAGCAAGAUUCGUCUUGCAUUAAACUAUAGAGACCGCUGUUUCUUCUUUAAACCAGAGGAAGGAUACGGCAAUAACAGGUCUGUG